GACGAACGCUGGCGGCGUGCCUAAUACAUGCAAGUAGGACGCAGUUGCGAACGGGUGAGUAACGCGUAGGUAACUACCUAUUAGAGGGGGAUAACUAUUAGAAACGCUAGCUAAUACCGCAUACUCGUAGCUGGCACUGCGUUGCAUUAGCUAGUAGGUAGGGUAAUGGCCUACCUAGGGAACGAGACAUAGCAGACCCGAGAGGGUUGUCGGCCACGCUGGGAGUGCUGCACGGCCCAGACUCCUACGGGAGGCAGCAGUAGGGAAUCUUCGGCAAGUGGGUGAACCCUGACCGAGCAACGCCGCGUGAGUUACGAAGGUUUUCGGAUCGUAAAGCUCUGUUGUUAAGGAAGCGGUACUUAACCAGAAAGGGACGGCUAACUACGUGCCAGCAGCCGCGGUAAUAC
rnacentral:rRNA from 1 species